rnacentral:rRNA from 1 species
UACGUAGGGGGCAAGCGUUGUCCGGAUUUAUUGGGCGUAAAGCGCUCGCAGGUGGUUCGUUGCGUCGUGCGUGAAAGACCCCGGCUCAACUGGGGAGGGUCGUGCGACACGGGCGAACUGGAGGCCAGUAGGGGGAUGCGGAAUUCCGGGUGUAGUGGUGGAAUGCGUAGAGAUCCGGAGGAACACCAGCGGCGAAGGCGGCAUCCUGGACUGGUCCUGACACUCAUGAGCGAAAGCGUGGGGAGCGAUCCGG